GAUGAACGCUGGCGGCGUGCCCAAUACAUGCAAGUCGAGCGAACGGACGAGAAGCUCGCUUCUCUGAUGUUAGCGGCGGACGGGUGAGUAACACGUGGAUAACCUACCUAUAAGACUGGGAUAACUUCGGGAAACCGGAGCUAAUACCGGAUAAUAUUUUGAACCGCAUGGUUCAAAAGUGAAAGACGGUCUUGCUGUCACUUAUAGAUGGAUCCGCGCUGCAUUAGCUAGUUGGUAAGGUAACGGCUUACCAAGGCAACGAUGCAUAGCCGACCUGAGAGGGUGAUCGGCCACACUGGAACUGAGACACGGUCCAGACUCCUACGGGAGGCAGCAGUAGGGAAUCUUCCGCAAUGGGCGAAAGCCUGACGGAGCAACGCCGCGUGAGUGAUGAAGGUCUUCGGAUCGUAAAACUCUGUUAUUAGGGAAGAACAUAUGUGUAAGUAACUGUGCACAUCUUGACGGUACCUAAUCAGAAAGCCACGGCUAACUACGUG
rnacentral:rRNA from 1 species